UAGGGACCAAGCGUUGUUCGGAUUUACUGGGCGUAAAGGGCGCGUAGGCGGCAAUUCAAGUCAUCUGUGAAAUCUCCGGGCUUAACUCGGAACGGUCAGAUGAUACUGCUUUGCUAGAGUGCGGAAGGGGCAAUCGGAAUUCUUGGUGUAGCGGUGAAAUGCGUAGAUAUCAAGAGGAGCACCUGAGGUGAAGACGGGUUGCUGGGCCGACACUGACGCUGACAGCGCGAAAGCCAGGGGAGCAAACGGG
rnacentral:rRNA from 1 species